rnacentral:lncRNA from 1 species
CAAUUCUCUGCUUUGUCCUUGCAUAGUGUAUCCAAGCACUGGAUUACUACACUGGACUCUCAAAAAUAUGUCUUCUGAUCUGUACUCUCCAUUCUCAGUCACACACACACACACACACACACACACACACACACAAAUUUUUAAAAAAUAUAAUAAAAGUACUCAAUUUGUCCUGUCAACUUAUGCAUUGUAUUGCAGAUGGGCUAGAACAGUGAGCUGAUGGAUUCUCUGCCUGUGCUGUAUUUCUGCAAUGAAUGUAGACACGUGAUUACCAUACACAUGAUGGUCUAGAUCCAAAGUCGGGUAUGAAAUUCCAGCGGUCAUGUUCAGGCAUA